AGAACGUAUAAGACAGGCUGGUCCACAGCCUGGAACGAGUCCAGAUCUACACUGGCUUAAUCCAAGUAUCGAGGAUAUCAUCAAAGGAACCAAGGAUAUCACCGAGGAACAAAAUUAAUUGGGGAAGCUUAUAAGUACGAUGGAAUGCCAUUGUUGUUCGGGAUAAACAGCAAAUUUCUAUUGAAAGAAGUGGUCGCAUCUGCGGCAUCCCGGUGCAACGGACGAUGCAUUGUCAUAAAAUACAGAAUACCCCUGUAUGACAAUAGGGAUCCGAGAGAAAACGCGAGACGCUUAACAAUUCUACAACACGAGAGUUUUCGACAUCGAUUAGCGAUUACUCACCGUUCUGCGGCGAUGUAGAGACGAUGACGCUUGGUCUGCU